rnacentral:sRNA from 1 species
UGCCAAGGCAUUAAAGUCCUGUAUUUAUCUAUAGAGCAGAUGCAGUGUGGGCAGCACGAGGGCGCCCUUACCCACUCUGCCUCACCAAUGUGCUUCUACCCUGACCUGGAGAGACCAGCUCUAGGGGUAAGAGAGUAGCCCAGAAUCCAUGCCUACCUGCCCCUUGGCCAUCU